rnacentral:rRNA from 1 species
GUGGGGAAUCUUGCGCAAUGGGCGAAAGCCUGACGCAGCCAUGCCGCGUGAAUGAUGAAGGUCUUAGGAUUGUAAAAUUCUUUCACCGGGGACGAUAAUGACGGUACCCGGAGAAGAAGCCCCGGCUAACUUCGUGCCAGCAGCCGCGGUAAUAGGAAGGGGGCUAGCGUUGCUCGGAAUUACUGGGCGUAAAGGGCGCGUAGGCGGACAGUUUAGUCAGAGGUGAAAGCCCAGGGCUCAACCUUGGAAUUGCCUUUGAUACUGGCUGUCUUGAGUACGGGGGAGGUGAGUGGAACUCCGAGUGUAGAGGUGAAAUUCGUAGAUAUUCGGAAGAACACCAGUGGCGAAGGCGACUCACUGGCCCGUUACUGACGCUGAGGCGCGAAAGCGUGGGGAGCAAACAGGAUUAGAUACCCGUGUAGUCC